rnacentral:rRNA from 1 species
CCUACGGGGGGCAGCAGUGGGGAAUAUUGCACAAUGGGCGAAAGCCUGAUGCAGCAACGCCGCGUGAAGGAAGACGGUUUUCGGAUUGUAAACUUCUGUUCUUAGUGAAGAAUAAUGACGGUAACUAAGGAGCAAGCCACGGCUAACUACGUGCCAGCAGCCGCGGUAAUACGUAGGGGGCAAGCGUUAUCCGGAUUUACUGGGUGUAAAGGGAGCGUAGACGGCAGCACAAGUCUGGAGUGAAAUCCCGGGGCUUAACCCCGGAACUGCUUUGGAAACUGUGCGGCUGGAGUGCAGGAGGGGUA